AGAGCCAUUGUUGAUUUGAAGCAAUGUAUCAGGGGCAGGUCUGGAAGCAACAGCUCACAUACGUUGCCAAUAAACCAGUAGACCACGGGUAUUAGAAAAGGCUGUUCGCAAUCAUUCUUCUGCCUAAUGUCAGCGGUGUAUUUCGAAGAGAUGCAGAGAAAACUUGGGUCAUCUUACAGUAACCAGUAGUGGUCUUGGAAUUGAAGAAAAAGGAAAAUGGCUAGCAAGUAAAAUUGGGGCUAGGCCUUCUUGAGAUGCUGAAAAGAUACAGUUCCAGAGUGAUUCGGGGUCAUUGAAGAGAAGACAAUGUGGAUUCUGUCCACCCAACAGAGAUUUUCAGAGGGAGAAGGGACCAGAAAGAAGAUUAUUGUUCUGCUUCUGCUAAUAUGACAAAAUGUCUAAUUAUGACUAAAUCCCUGUAAGAAUUAUUCAUGGAAACAUGAAUAAACAAGCUAAUAAUAGACUUGAAACAGGAUGAGAAAAUAUCUAGAACAAACUUUUCUUCAUAUGAAUAAUAAAGGUAAAAAAAGGAACAGCCUGAAUCUGGUCCAGAAAGUGGUGUCCAAAGAGUUGGACUUCUGAAAGGGAAAAAAAAAAUCUUAUAUACAUGAUAAAUCUCUAAUGAGAAUGGAGAGGUUAACGUGGCGGAAACCAUGACAGAAAGAUGACAACAUCACUACUGAUGUAGACCAUGAAGUCUUCAUUGAUUGGCAUUCCAGCUUUAGUCAUUAUUCAUUGUGUCAUUGUGUUUAAAUUAUUGUCCAGCUUUGUUUGAACACAUCCAAUGAACAGAGGCACACGGCUUCUCCAUAUAGUUGAUUACACUAAUAAGCAGCCCUUAUUGUUAAUGUGUUUUUCCUAGCAUUGCAGAUUCUGCUUUCCUGUAAAGUAAAAUAAUUUUCAAGGUU